rnacentral:rRNA from 1 species
GACGAACGCUGGCGGCGUGCUUAACACAUGCAAGUCGAACGGAAAGGCCCUGCUUUUGUGGGGUGCUCGAGUGGCGAACGGGUGAGUAACACGUGAGUAACCUGCCCUUGACUUUGGGAUAACUUCAGGAAACUGGGGCUAAUACCGGAUAGGAGCUCCUGCUGCAUGGUGGGGGUUGGAAAGUUUCGGCGGUUGGGGAUGGACUCGCGGCUUAUCAGCUUGUUGGUGGGGUAGUGGCUUACCAAGGCUUUGACGGGUAGCCGGCCUGAGAGGGUGACCGGCCACAUUGGGACUGAGAUACGGACCAGACUCCUACGGGAGGCAGCAGUGGAGAAUAUUGCACAAUGGGCGGAAGCCUGAUGCAGCAACGCCGCGUGCGGGAUGACGGCCUUCGGGUUGUAAACCGCUUUCGCCUGUGACGAAGCGUGAGUGACGGUAAUGGGUAAAGAAGCAACGGCUAACUACGUG